UCCUCCUAAAGAGUAACGGAGGAGCACGAAGGUUGGCUAAUCCUGGUCGGACAUCAGGAGGUUAGUGCAAUGGCAUAAGCCAGCUUGACUGCGAGCGUGACGGCGCGAGCAGGUGCGAAAGCAGGUCAUAGUGAUCCGGUGGUUCUGAAUGGAAGGGCCAUCGCUCAACGGAUAAAAGGUACUCCGGGGAUAACAGGCUGAUACCGCCCAAGAGUUCAUAUCGACGGCGGUGUUUGGCACCUCGAUGUCGGCUCAUCACAUCCUGGGGCUGAAGUAGGUCCCAAGGGUAUGGCUGUUCGCCAUUUAAAGUGGUACGCGAGCUGGGUUUAGAACGUCGUGAGACAGUUCGGUCCCUAUCUGCCGUGGGCGCUGGAGAACUGAGGGGGGCUGCUCCUAGUACGAGAGGACCGGAGUGGACGCAUCACUGGUGUUCGGGUUGUCAUGCCAAUGGCACUGCCCGGUAGCUAAAUGCGGAAGAGAUAAGUGCUGAAAGCAUCUAAGCACGAAACUUGCCCCGAGAUGAGUUCUCCCUGAGACUUAGAGUCUCCUGAAGGAACGUUGAAGACGACGACGUUGAUAGGCCGGGUGUGUAAGCGCAGCGAUGCGUUGAGCUAACCGGUACUAAUGAACCGUGAGGCUUAACCUUAC
rnacentral:rRNA from 1 species